AUGAAGAGGCUAUGGCGUCUUCAGGUGGUCCUGUCAUGGGUCCUGGCCGUCGUUCUCGGCUCAGUCCACGGCCAUGUGCGGCGGCAAUGGGGAGAGCAGGUGCCCCCGGAGUCGCGGCCGCACAGCGUCACCAUUACCGAGUUCGGCGCCGUAGGGGAUGGUAGGACCCUGAACACCCUGCCCUUCCAAAACGCCGUCUUCUACGCCCGGUCCUUCGCCGACAAGGGCGGCGCGCAGCUGUACGUCCCCAAGGGUCGAUGGCUCACCGGCAGCUUCAACCUCACCAGCCAUCUCACCCUCUUCCUCGAGAAAGAUGCCAUCAUCGUCGGCACGGAGGAGUCCUCGCAAUGGCCAAUUGUGGAACCUUUGCCAUCUUAUGGCCAGGGACUAGACCUUCCAGGUCCUAGACAUUGUAGCUUAAUAAAUGGAUACAAUUUAACAGAUGUUGUUAUUACUGGGAAUAAUGGACUUAUCGAUGGCCAGGGCUUAGUAUGGUGGGAUUGGCUUCGCUCUCAUGAACUAAAUCAUAGCCGCCCUCAUCUCGUGGAGUUUCUGUAUUCUGAAGAAAUUGUGAUAUCAAACUUGACAUUUUUGAACUCACCAGCCUGGAGCAUACAUCCAGUGUACUGCAGCAAUGUAAAGGUUCAUAACGUCACAAUUAAGACUUUGUUGGAUGCUCCACUCACUGAUGGCAUAGUUCCAGAUUCAUGUUUGAAUGUCUGCAUCGAAGACAGCACCAUUAGUGUCAGUCAUGAAGCCAUCUCAGUGAAAAGUGGGUUGGACAAGUACGGCAUUUCUAUCGGAAGGCCAACCUCGGACAUUCAUAUCAGCAGAGUGGAUCUUCAAGCGUCAUCUGGUGCUGCACUUGCAUUUGGCAGUGAGAUGUCCGGUGGGAUCUCAGGUAUUCAUGCUGACCACCUAAGGAUACAUGGUUCUGAUAAAGGGUUCUCUUUGAAGACCACCCCUGGUCGUGGAGGUUACAUAAAGGAAGUGAUCAUCUCAGAUGUAGAAAUGGAUGGUAUCCGUGUGGCCAUUGAAUUCAUAGGUAAUUUAUCAAGCCAUCCAGAUGAUGAUUUUGAUCCGUCUGAGCUUCCGGUGAUUGAUCAAAUCACCUUAAAGAAUAUGGUGGGAACAAACAUCUCGGUUGCAGGAAUUUUAUUAGGAAUUGACAGUGAUCCAUUUACUGCGAUUUGCCUUUCCAAUCUCAGUUUCUCGAUAACUGAUUCGCUCCAUUCUAGUCCCUGGUCUUGUUCCAAUGUUUCUGGAUACUCGGAAUCGGUCUUGCCUGAGCCUUGCUCGGAACUGUAUGCACCAUCCUCAAAUUCUUCAAUUUGCUUCUCCCUUCCUAGUUACAGUGCACUUGAUGUGGCAUAG
rnacentral:rRNA from 1 species